UACGGGGGGGGGCAAGCGUUGUUCGGAAUUACUGGGCGUAAAGGGCUCGUAGGCGGCCAACUAAGUCGGAUGUGAAAUCCCCAGGCUCAACCUGGGAACUGCAUCCGAUACUGGAUGGCUUGAAUUCGGGAGAGGGAUGCAGAAUUCCAGGUGUAGCGGUGAAAUGCGUAGAUAUCUGGAGGAAUACCGGUGGCGAAGGCGGCAUCCUGGACCGACAUUGACGCUGAGGAGCGAAAGCCAGGGGAGCAAACGGG
rnacentral:rRNA from 1 species